CAAUAGCGUAUAUUAAAGUUGUUGCAGUUAAAAAGCUCGUAGUUGGACCUUGGACCUGGACAGGCGGUCCGCCUCACGGCGAGUACUGUCUUGCUGGUCUUUCCUCUUGGUGAUCUGUUGUUUCGGCAGCAGGGAACCAGGACCUUUACUUUGAAAAAAUUAGAGUGUUCAAAGCAGGCUCGACGCCGGAAUAUAUUAGCAUGGAAUAAUAAAAUAGGACGUGCGGUUCUAUUUUGUUGGUUUUUGGAAUCGCCGUAAUGAUUAAUAGGGACAGUCGGGGGCAUUAGUACUCACAUGCUAGAGGUGAAAUUCUUGGAUUUUGUGAAGACUAACUUCUGCGAUAGCAUUUGCCAAGGAUGUUUUCAUUA
rnacentral:rRNA from 1 species